rnacentral:rRNA from 1 species
AACGAACGCUGGCGGCAGGCUUAACACAUGCAAGUCGAGCGCCCCGCAAGGGGAGCGGCAGACGGGUGAGUAACGCGUGGGAACGUACCCUUUACUACGGAAUAGCUCCGGGAAACUGGAAUUAAUACCGUAUGUGCCCUUCGGGGGAAAGAUUUAUCGGUAAAGGAUCGGCCCGCGUUGGAUUAGCUAGUUGGUGGGGUAAAGGCCUACCAAGGCGACGAUCCUUAGCUGGUCUGAGAGGAUGAUCAGCCACAUUGGGACUGAGACACGGCCCAAACUCCUACGGGAGGCAGCAGUGGGGAAUAUUGGACAAUGGGCGCAAGCCUGAUCCAGCCAUGCCGCGUGAGUGAUGAAGGCCUUAGGGUUGUAAAGCUCUUUCACCGGAGAAGAUAAUGACGGUAUCCGGAGAAGAAGCCCCGGCUAACUUCGUGCCAGCCGCCGCAGUAAAAC